GGUCGGAUAGCAGCUUGCUGCUUCGCUGACGAGUGGCGGACGGGUGAGUAAUGUCUGGGAAAUCUGCCUUGUUGAGGGGGAUAACUCUGGGAAACCCGAGCUAAUACCGCAUACGCUCAGCGGAUGAAAGCGGGGGAUCUUCGGACCUCUUGCUAUAAGAUGAGCCUACGUGGGAUUAGCUAGUUGGUGGGGUAAAGGCCUACCAAGGCGACGAUCCGUAGCUGGUCUGAGAGGAUGAUCAGCCACACUGGGACUGAGACACGGUCCAGACUCCUACGGGAGGCAGCAGUGGGGAAUAUUGCACAAUGGGCGCAAGCCUGAUGCAGCCAUGCCGCGUGUGUGAAGAAGGCCUGAGGGUUGUAAAGUACUUUCAGCAGGAAGGAAGGGCGGGGGUUUAAUACCUUUGCCCAUUGACGUUACCCGCAGAAGAAGCACCGGCUAACUCCGUGCCAGCAGCCGCGGUAAUACGGAGGGUGCGAGCGUUAAUCGGAAUUACUGGGCGUAAAGCGCGCGUAGGCGGUUUGAUAAGUCAGAUGUGAAAUCCCUGGGCUUAACCUGGGAACUGCAUCUGAUACUGGCAAGCUUGAGUCUCGUAGAGGGGGGUGGAAUUCCCGGUGUAGCGGUGAAAUGCGUAGAGAUCUGAAGGAACACGGGGGGGGGA
rnacentral:rRNA from 1 species